rnacentral:rRNA from 1 species
UGGGGAAUAUUGCACAAUGGGCGCAAGCCUGAUGCAGCCAUGCCGCGUGUGUGAAGAAGGCCUUCGGGUUGUAAAGCACUUUCAGCGGGGAGGAAGGCGGUGAGGUUAAUAACCUCAUCGAUUGACGUUACCCGCAGAAGUAGCACCGGCUAACUCCGUGCCAGCAGCCGCGGUAAUACGGAGGGUGCAAGCGUUAAUCUGAAUUACUGGGCGUAAAGCGCACGCAGGCGGUCUGUCAAGUCGGAUGUGAAAUCCCCGGGCUCAACCUGGGAACUGCAUUCGAAACUGGCAGGCUAGAGUCUUGUAGAGGGGGGUAGAAUUCCAGGUGUAGCGGUGAAAUGCGUAGAGAUCUGGAGGACUACCGGUGGCGAAGGCGGCCCCCUGGACAAAGACUGACGCUCAGGUGCGAAAGCGUGGGGAGCAAACAGG